rnacentral:lncRNA from 1 species
CACAGCUCUGAUCUGGCAUGGCUGUGGCUGUGGCGUAGGCCGGCGGCUACAGCUCUGAUUCCACCCCUAGCCUGGGAACCUCCAUGUGCCUUGGGUACAGCCCUAAAAAGACCAAAAAAAAAAAAAAAAAGAAAAGGUAAUGCCGAGAGGACACAGUGAGGUCUGUCGCAAUGUUUUUAGAUUUUCUAUCUGUUGUUUUCUUUAACAGUUGAAUCUGCAGGUGGCAAACAAAUCCAGAGGGUAUUCAUUUGAGAAUGAAGGUUUCCUGCUUGAUUUCCCAUUUUGUCACAGUUUAAUGAUCACUAACAUCAACAUUUCUACAUUUCUAUUUCCCACUGGUUUUUAUAAAAUAGUAAGUAGGAAAUGCAAUCUCCAAUUCAGUGCUCAAGGAAUAACAACAAUGCCUAAAACCUAUAAACACUGACUGUGGGCCAGGUUUACUUCAUCCUCUCAGUAAUGAUCCAAGGACGAUAUCAUUGCUCUUUUACAGAUAAAGGAAUGGCGGCCCAGGGAGGUUCAGAAAUUUGCUCGAGGACACACAGCCAUGACGGGGCAAAAGCCUGGCAGUCUUGCUUCCCGCGUGCUCCGUCUAUGUGACUGCUAGAAAUAGUCCCCCAGCUGACUGUUGAAAGCACGAGUGUGGCACAUGACAGGGGGUUAGCGGUGUCAGUAUGCGUGCAUAUAAAGGCAGACUUUUCAAAAUCAAGCACAUCCGCACCAGUGUGGCACAAAAUGGUUUAUGGUUACAGCAGAGUAUUCAAGUUGGGAUUUUCACCUCAAGAUAGAGAUACCCGAGUGAUGAUACGUGAGGCUGAGACAGUCCGAGAUCUGCCCCAGGUUUCCGGACCUAGGGAGGGACCUAACUGCUCCAGCUCCCAGCUUGCUCCAGGCUGCCAUGAGGAACCAUCAGCCCUCAGAGCCCAGACACGACAGUGCCAUCCUACCACCAGCUCCACUCAAGCUCCUGCCCUGGAUAAUCUCCUCUGGCUUUCUGUCUGAUGGCUGGGGUCCCACUACCCUUGGAAUAACCUUCAGAUAACAACGUUUCCCCAUGUCCUGACCAGAUUAGUCUGGGAACCUCAGUGAAAUGACUCUGAGAUCAGGACAAUAAUGGGCUUGGCUAUGGGCGGCUGUCCCAGCAGAGGCUGGGACAGUGAGGCAGGGGUUGACAGGCUCCAAGUGAGAUAUGGAAAGAAACAAACAUGCAUAAAGAUUGAUUUCUCAAUAAUUUCUCCAUAGGAGUUCUCCCUUCUGAGGCUGGACUGGGAGUUUGGGAUUAGCAGAUAUAAACUAUCACAUAUAGGAUGGAUAACAACAAGCUCCUACUCGGAGUUCCUGUCAUGGCACAGUGGUUAAUGAAUCCGACUAGGAACCAUGAGGUUGCGGGUUCGAUCCCUGGCCUCACUCAGUGGGUUAAGGAUCCGGUGUUGCCAUGAGCUGUGGUGUAGGUUGCAGACGUGGCUCAGCUCCCGCGUUGCUCUGGCUCUGGUGUAGGCCGGCAGCUACAGCUCCGAUUGGACCCUUAGCCUGGGAACCUCCAUAUGCCACGAGAGCGGCCCAAGAAAUGGCAAAAAGACAUAAAAAAACAAAACAAAACAAAAAAAACCAAGGUCCUACUCGAUAGCACAGGGAACCACAUUCAAUGUCCUGUGAUAAACCAUAAUGGAAAGGAAUACAAGAACUAUAUUGUAAAUUUCUUAUAUAUAUAAUUUAUGUAUAAAUUUCUUAUAUAUGUAAGAAUGUAUAAAUUAUAUAUAAUUAUAUAAAUUUCCUAUAUAUAUAAAUUAAAAAAUAUAUAUUUUUACACAUAUUGGUCCUAGGCCAACUAAACAAAGCCUGUUCCUUUAGCAAGUCCUCCAAUGGAUGGUCCCCAGUGGAAGGCCUUGCUGAUACCCGCUGUCGCUCUAAUGAGGGGCUUAGGGCUGGCCACCGUGGUGUCAGAUACAUACACACACACACACAUAUAUACAUAUAUAUACACACAUAUGCAUAUAUAUAU